rnacentral:lncRNA from 1 species
AUGGGGAUGUGGGAGACGGAGGAUGCAACUCCAGUUUUGUUUUCUGUGUGUGUGGUUUUUUUAUGGGGGAUUAGCCCUUGUUCUGGGAAAGGCUGGGGUGGGAACAAUUGCAAAACUCCUCUGGACAGCCUGACUGAUGCCCAAUGGUCCCAUCUGGUCGGCUCUUGCUUGAGCCUGGGUUCACUUUGUUUGCUGUGCUGCCUGAAAGAAGCAAUUCUACAUGUGCAUGAGGUCCCGGAAGACCUUGAAUCUAGACUCCUGUACCCAGGCAGGACAGUAUGGAAGCCACACAAAGACUCUGACAAAUGCAGAAAGAGAUGUAAAGCGUUUCUGCCACUGCCUCUGUCCAGAGAGUCCCAGUGCCCUCAUGCCAGGAUUACAGGGGGCAGGAAAUCAACUGAGCCAGGACCCACAGCUGCCCAGCAGAACACAGCUCCUUAAAAAGCAGAAGCAGCAGACCUGAGGGAUAAUGGGACCACAAGUUGGGAGGAACAUGAGUCUUUGCAUCUUAGUUAGAAGAAAGUUUUCCAUAGUUCAAGGACAUCACACUACAUUGCUACUCAAGCAAGAAAUAAACCUUAGCGUGUCUGAAGGACUGGAAGUCUG